AAAGAGUUUUGCCAGGUUUGUGUGAGAGGUCUCUGGUCUUCUGUUUGCUCACUGGAAGUUUGCCUUUUAGGAGCUCUCGAUCGAUCAACAGCAACUGUAAGCUAAGUUUUUUUUUUCUUGCUUCAAACUCUUGUGAAUCUCACCAUGAAAUACAGUCUUCUUUUUGGGAAGCCAAGCUCGCUAGCUGUGAAAUGAAGCACUCUGGAUGAGUACGCAACAAAGCAGGAUAAGAUCCAACGCAGCGGCUUUACUUACCAGGAUACGAGCUUGCAGAAACUUGGAAAGAGCAAGAAAAGUUCACGCCGAGGCUGUAGAAACCGGUGACCAUCUCGAAGCGUUCGUCGCAA
rnacentral:lncRNA from 1 species